rfam:Bombyx mori DNA, contig: Bm_scaf2122_contig47004, strain: p50T/Dazao, build 2, whole genome shotgun sequence.
UUAGCUCAUAUUUGUAUGGAAUGGGAUCGUUUGCCUACGUUUGCCGCUAGGCGCGCUGUUCCAACUGCAUACAAAAUUGGGCUA